rnacentral:rRNA from 1 species
CCUACGGGAGGCUGCAGUGGGGAAUUUUGGACAAUGGGCGCAAGCCUGAUCCAGCAAUGCCGCGUGCAGGAUGAAGGCCUUCGGGUUGUAAACUGCUUUUGUACGGAGCGAAACGGUCUUCUCUAAUACAGGAGGCUAAUGACGGUACCGUAAGAAUAAGCACCGGCUAACUACGUGCCAGCAGCCGCGGUAAUACGUAGGGUGCGAGCGUUAAUCGGAAUUACUGGGCGCGGAGUUGUAGCAGGCGGGUGAAAUCCCCGGGCUUAACCUGGGACCUGCAUUUGUGACUGCAAGGCUGGAGUGCGGCAGAGGGGGAUGGAAUUCCGCGUGUAGCAGUGAAAUGCGUAGAUAUGCGGAGGAACACCGAUGGCGAAGGCAAUCCCCUGGGCCUGCACUGACGCUCAUGCACGAAAGCGUGGGGAGCAAACAGGAUUAGAUACCCUUGUAGUC